AUUCACUCUUCAAUGUCCGCUCCUUCCUUUGUACUACCGUGCUUGAAAUGAAGGCACGGCCAGCGAGGACAUGCGAGCAGGCAGGCAGCCACGCAGGCAGCCACGCAGGCGCCCAAGCAGUAAGCGCUCCAGCUAGCUCUCCGACAGGAUCGAGUCUGAAGGAGACCUCGAGCGGCCGGUCAACGCCCAUGUCGUCUUCAAAGCACCAUCUGACCUGACCUGACCUGACCUGACGCUAUCGCCAUGGCAAUGGACAAAUCCACGCACGAACUUAGAACGUAGCAAGUUUGCCAAGAGUAAGUUGUCAAAACGAGAUGCAGCGCAAAUGCAAGCUUCAAGCAGCAAGAAAGCUUUUUCAGCAAA